rnacentral:rRNA from 1 species
UACGUAGGUGGCAAGCGUUGUCCGGAUUUACUGGGCGUAAAGGAUGCGUAGGCGGACAUUUAAGUCAGAUGUGAAAUACCCGAGCUUAACUUGGGUGCUGCAUUUGAAACUGGGUGUCUAGAGUGCAGGAGAGGUAAGUGGAAUUCCUAGUGUAGCGGUGAAAUGCGUAGAGAUUAGGAAGAACACCAGUGGCGAAGGCGGCUUUCUGGACUGUAACUGACACUGAGGCACGAAAGCGUGGGGAGCAAACAGG